CGGAGCGUAGCGCAGCCUGGUUAGCGCACCAGUCUGGGGGACUGGGGGUCGGAGGUUCAAAUCCUCUCGCUCCGACCA
rnacentral:tRNA from 16 species